rnacentral:lncRNA from 1 species
UGCAUGGAGAUUGUAAGUGAUCAAUAAGAGAUCAGUCACUCCUAAUAAAAGGAGCGAACAUCCUAUGUGAUCUCAUAGGUUGAUGAUUCUAAAAGUCUUUGAUCAAAGCAGGAUGAUAAUUAGAAAGAGAUUUUUAAUGUAUCAUUAACUAAAUCAUCACCUUCUAAUCAAGAUAUAUUUAUAUAAGCAAUUGGGUUUGAU